rnacentral:lncRNA from 1 species
GUUUGAAGCGUCUAUGAUAAACAGAGAGCAAAUUAGAAUCCAAGGAAGUUGACAUGUCAUCACUUCAUUUUUUUGCGCCUGCGCAUAAAUCUGAGAAACGUGAGUUUGUCAUCAUUUUUUAUCUAGACAUAGGAUAGGUUGUGUGAAAAUAUUACUGAUGUUUAACGUUAAAAGUGGACCAAAAGAUUAAUGCUAAACAACAUUUGACAUGUUUGAACGAACAUAAAUAUAUUAUUUACUAGUUUUUUUUAGCUUUUCGGCGUGAUUUUACCAGCCCCCACCACGUUUUGUGGGAGCAUAAUGAACGCUAAGUACUUGGUGUUAUUUGGACAUAAAUUAUGAACUUUGUCAAAAGAAACCACAUUUGUUCCGGACCUGGAAUGCCUUCCGGACCUGGGAUCCUGCCUUCUGAUGGAGAUAAUCAAAGAAUGCCAUGCAUUUUCAAGGAACAACCAACAUAUGACCCUCAUCAGCAAUUGGCCUAAAAGGUAGCUCAAUGUCCAGUCUGCCAGGGGAAAAUAACUGUUUUGAAACAGACAUCAGAUUACACAGAUUACGGAGCAACAACCUCUCCUUCAACGUAAGCAAGACCAAGGAGCUGAUCAUGGACUACAGGA